GGUUUCUCUCUGUAGCCCUGGCUGUCCUGGAGCUCACUCUGUAGACCAGGCUGGCCCUGAACUCUGGGAUCCUCCUGCCUCUGCCUCCCUAGUGCUGGGAUUAAAGGCAUACACUACCAGUGCCC
rnacentral:miRNA from 14 species